UACGGGGGGGGCAAGCGUUGUUCGGAAUUACUGGGCGUAAAGGGCUCGUAGGCGGCCCUCUCAGUCGGAUGUGAAAUCCCCAGGCUUAACCUGGGAACGGCAUCCGAUACUGGAGGGCUUGAAUUCGGGAGAGGGAUGCAGAAUUCCAGGUGUAGCGGUGAAAUGCGUAGAUAUCUGGAGGAACACCGGUGGCGAAGGCGGCAUCCUGGACCGGUAUUGACGCUGAGGCGCGAAAGCCAGGGGAGCAAACGGG
rnacentral:rRNA from 1 species